GAACUGUUGUGCUCUGCGGGUGGCGAUAUGGAAGCACGAGGCUGUCUCUGACAACCACGUCACGCAGGCCGCUGUCCCUCCUACCCGGAUGGGCUCUGUGCUGGGCCGGGAAUUCUGCCCCCAGGGCUGAUGUGAGGACGAAGUUCUUCACUUAUCUGUUAUGAGUUUUCACCGUCAACUACCCCUGCUCUUCUUUUGGGGUGAGAGAUGGGACUUGUCUUGGAAAGAAGGCUUUGCUUUGCCCUUGGGAAGGUGGAGAGUUGCGAAAAAGAAUGUGAAUGGCUGGGCUUAAUGGUGCGAGUUGGUUUUGUGUGCUCUAGGGUUAGAAGUCUGUUUUUCCCAUGGGAGAAGGGUUUUGUCUUUCUGGUCCAAGAACUCGAGGACCUUGCUAGAAGAGCGUUCCAGCCACAUUCUCUUUUCACCUGCUUCUGGAGUUUGGGGUUGAGCAGCCUGGAGUGCACAGAACCUUGGCAUCCCUGGUUCGGGGUUCCGCAAAUGGGCCAAGCCCACUCUCAGAGCUGUGCGGGUGAAUCCAACAGUGCCUGUACCCUGCCUGCUCUGGAAAUGAGGCCCCUGGAGAAAGGAGGCCUGGACUCUGGAGAGGGGACACCAGUCCUGGGGCCUGGCCAAUAGACAAGGACACAGGGAUCUUUGAUAAACAGGGUUUGGCUUUCUCCUCAGAGUUGUGAUUUCUUGCCUGGUUCCCAGGAGCCCCUGGGAAGCUGGACCUGGAACACUGGAGCCUGAUAUUCUCUGUUGUGGGGAAUCCAAGGUGAAGUGUGGCCACGCCUUGGGCUGUUCUGGAGAGCUACAGCGGGAGAGAAGUUCAUGGAGUUCUGUGACACAGUGACUGGCCAGGAAGCCCAGAGCAAGAGGCGACAAGACACAGCCAGAUCAGGGAGAAGGCCUGCCAGCAAUCCAGACAUCCACGCCGUGAGCUUUCUGCAAGCCCUCAGGCAGGGCUCCGGAAGGCCACCUCUGGGAUGGUGGGGUCCUACAGGUGGGCAGAGCUGGGUUUACUUUAGCAAGAUCAUAUGUUCAGAGGUAAAGCCCAUGGGGGUGAAGACUUGGCAGGUGCAUUCCACCAAUCUGGCCAUGGGAGGAAGGACACCUGUGCUUUUUCUGAGUGGCCACGUGUUUUUGUGGCUCUAGGAGUCAGGGUUACAGCCAGAUUAAGAAAAAACAGAACCCCAAAUGCUGUGAAUUUCAGGCUUCUUUGGCCAUUCGGGUAAAAAAUAACCUGUGCCAAGUGGAUCAAGCUUGAUGUGGGUGCGAGGGAAGCAGCAUGGUGCUGUCAUUUCAAUCAGGGCACAAACACUGGAGAGAAAAUAAAUACUUUAGAAGGCACUUGACCUUUUAAUGUGGAGUUCUAAAAAUGGAGAUUGAACACAGUGAUGCUUAACAGAGGCAAAGAGAGCCAGGCUGCUAUCAGAUUCUUUCUACCCAAGAGUCUGGCUUUCCUCCCUGGCAUUAGCAGGGCAUCCCUGUUACCCAGGUGAGCACAAGAACAGCUGUUACCUGGAUGAACCUAAGAACAGCCCUAUUACCUGGGUGAGCACCAGAACAGCCUGUUACUUGGAUGAACCUGAGGUUAGUUCUGUUACCAAGCAGGCUUGUGUAAGAAGCAUGACCGCCUAAGACCACCACACUGUGGGAAGGCCAAGGCCCGUGUAAUGAGGUACCAUGUUCAGAGGAAGACCAAGGAGCACCAAGGAGGCAGCAGACUGAGUGGAGAGGAAUAUGCAGGGGAUGCUGUGUAGUCAGAAUCAAGCUUCCCAGUGUCACUCAAAGAAGCAGCAAGACUCUGUCUUAACGUGGCUUGCUGUUGCUAUUAUUUCCCUCGAAGCCAUGAGACACUGGAUGAGAGCAGCGGCUGGGCGUGUGAGUUAACAUCGCAUGCUUUCCUGACUCCACUGCCCCACUCAUGAGGUCAUAGCAUAGCUUCUUGAAUUUGUCCUUCUCUGAAUGGAAGCCACUUGGAUCCUCCAGGUAUUUCUCCAAGGGGCAGGGCUUUCAGCACAGAAUCAACAGGAGAAACCAUCUGGAAAGCCCAGAGGCGUGUUCGGCAGCGUGUGGGAGCAGAGCUGCAGUAAACGGUGGCUCCUUGUUCGCCCAUCUCAGCUGUUCAGCUGACUUCUUGCCGUCUCCAGCUGUCUUCUCUAUCUCAUCCUGAUGACUCCUUCCCACAACUCUUUCCCUGGCUGCCGCAACGGUCCAGCUGCAGCCUGCAUUCACAGUUACUUACCUGUGGGGCUUUCUUGUUUCUGAGAUGGCCGAAUUGUCUUCUGAAAUUUACCUCCAUGACUCUGGUUAUAUAUUUUGGUUCCUAGUGGGUGCCGACAUCACAGUGGGCUGAUUAGAUGGUUUGCAUUACUUGUUGGCAGGCCUUCGAGCCUCCUGUGCAGUUUCCCGAAAAUAUUCCAUCUGCAGGUGGGAAGCCCAAGCCCCUGGGCAAAUUAUGCCAUGAGUGUGUCUUGGCAGUCAUUCUGGGUUCCAAUGACUUGGGCCGUGGUUCAAACAUUCCCUGGGGAUUGUCCGGAUCUGAGCUCCUGGUGGUGGGAAGCCAGCCUUUGGUGCCAGCCUGGCCCAGCACCAUCUCUUGACUCCUGACCCCACCAGAGGGUGAGGACUUGGUGUGAGCAGGGACACAGCAGGUCCCAGGAAAGUCUGCUGAGUGAACGGGUGAAUAAAAUAGUCUCAAACCCUGUAUGUUAUUCCCUCCUUGCCCCUACUCAGAACUCCUCCUCACUUCCAAUCGGAACUUGUCUCCUCUCUGCCAGAAGGUCAGCCCUGGUGAUUCCUGGAGUUCAUGCCUCCUGUCCCGCCAUGGUUCUGUGGACUGCUGGCUGUUGUGGGGAGCUAUCUUCCUGGUGAGCUUUGCAGGGCAGGGUCCCAGCAGGAGAGCAGAAGCAAGAUGCAUGGUGCAGAUGAGGGAUUCUUUCCAGUGGUUAGACCCUGCAGGACCAUGGGGGAGCUGGGCAGAAAAGUACAAGGGGUGUUGGAGAAUCUGAGAAAAGGCAUCAACCAGCCUUCCUGAAUCCCUGGCCUGUGGCAAGAAAGGCAAGUCAGAGCAUGGGCCAUGGGGCACAAAGGGGAGUAGGUGGGGUCUAUGGACUGCCACCACCUCUAGCAUAAAGUCCAGGCUCAAUGUCUGCUGCUGGGCCUGGGGCCUCUUGUGGUCAGUGGGAAGGGUCAGGCCCAGAGGAGGGAGGGCAGCUCUGUGUUUGCUUGUCACUGUAGAGGCCAUGACAACCUUCAGGGUACAAGCUGCUGCUUCACUUCCAUUUUGCAAAUCUCAGGCAGAACCCCUCUUUUGGCCAACUCUCUACAUGGAAGAGGGUUCUGGAAAGAUAAUCCCAGUUACAUCAUGUGUGACCCAGGUUCAUCAUGUAAUACUAACUGCCGUGGCUGGAUCUCAGAUUUCUUUGUGUGCCAUUGAGUGUUUUACCCAGGGCAGAUACAAAUGAGUGAUGGGGAGGAAACAGGCUAAGGGGGCAAAUGCAAUGCUUUUGUUGACCCAGCCUUCAUUAUGGGUUCACUACUGAUCACCAUACCAGCAAAUGCUGCCUCCUGCCCCAAGGCCGUGAUAAGGAGCACUUGAAAGCAGUCUGUCCAUUUCCAAAAUAUUGUCACUUCAAGAAUGAUGUGUAAAUGGCAUCAUACAGUGUGGAACCUUUUGGGAUUGGCUUUUUUCACUCAGCAUAAUUCUCUGGAGAUUCAUCCAAGUUUUAUGUAUCAACAGUCCAUUCCGUCUAAUGGCUGAGUGGUGUUCCACAGUCUGGGUGUGCACACAGUGUUUAACCAUUCACCUGUGAGCUGAAGGACAUCUGGGUUGACGAUUACACAUUUUUGACUACUACAAAUAAAGCUGCCAUGAACAUUCAUGGUGCAAGUUUUUGUGUGAAUGUAAGUUUUCAUUUCUCCGGGAUAAAUGCUCAAGAACACAACUGUACGGGCGUUGCAUAUUUAGUUUUAUGAGAAAUGACUAAACUGUUUUUCGGAGUGGCUGUACCAGUUUACAGCUCACCAAUACUUUAUUAUUCCUAAAAUAAAAUAUUACUAAGUUAAUUGUCGGGGAGGGCAGUGGUGGAUGUGGCCAUGAAAGGACAGCAGGAGGGAUCCUUUGGGUGAUGAAAAUGUUCAGUAUGUUUGGUAUCUUGACUGUGGGGGUGAAUACACCAAUGUAUAUGUGAGAAGAUCGUAUAGAACUAAACACACACACACACACGAACACACACACACAAACACAUACACACAGAUGAGUCCUUGUGCAUAUAUAACUGGGCAAUCUGAACAUGACACAUGGGUUGCAUCAAUGUCAAUACCUGGCGGUGAAAUCGUAUUCUAGUUUUGCCAAGAUGUUACCACUGGGAAAACUGGGUAAAAGUAACUGCAUGUGAAUCUACAAUUAUCUAACAAUUUAAAAAAUUAAUUAACAAGUGUCUAAAAUACAUGAUAUUUGUUAAAAGGCAAGCCUAUGAAAAACAUGAUACAUUAUUAAGAGUUAGGCAAAUGUUGUUGUUACUUGCUUUUCUGCUUUUGGGGGCCAAGUACUGGUUACUAAGAUUCCUAGCCUCUUCCGAAGGCGGUCCUUCCUCCACACAACUGCAAGAAGAGGCCUUUUCAGUGUAGACCCUUACUUUACCCCUCCACCCCAGGGCCCAUUUUAGGGAAUAGAAAAGCAAUUUGGAAGGAUUAGACUGAGGGACCCGUGCCUCCAGCAGAUAGGCCAGCGGAAGAGCAGUCAGUGCUGUGGGAGAUGCUGCGGGGAGGAGCGUGUCUGCGAGGAAGGACUGCUGGCUUCAGCACUUCCCGAUUGGAACUUCAUGAUGGAAUCCUUGGCACACCAAUGCUAAAAACCAAGUGUGAAAAAAAUCACCCUAGAACCUGCUAGAGUGAUACUGUGGAGGAUCUGUGGGCUGCACCGCCCACAGGGACUGCCCUGUAUCAGCAUGGAGAACUGAUAUCCCAUGGCAGGGCCACUGGGUAGCGGCUGCUGCUAAGUGGGGGUGCCGGAUGCGUUCCUUGGUUCAUCUUCCACUGAUGUUUUGGAAAUUGGGCUCCGUAAGAGCACCCAGAAGUGCUUAUUAAGAACCACCCGUGCUCUGCUGGUUCCUGAGGUGCCAGAUUCCCUCCAGGGAAAUGUUGACCUUUGUGAUAGACUAUCUUAUGACCAAAAGCUUCGCAGCAUUAAAAUGUGAUCCAUCUCAUUAGGUUGUCAUAUGAAGCCUAUAAAUAACUCCAGAAAU
rnacentral:lncRNA from 1 species